UUCUUAACGUCACCAUAGCCGAUCUAAUAGAUCGUUGUAUCGAGUAGUUGGAUCAUAGUCUCUUACCAUAAAAAUGGCUGCAUGUGCAGCAGCACCGACUAUUAGAAAUCCGCCAAUCCACAUGUGGUGUGUGAACAAGGAAAGUUGUGUACCAUAGUCAGUAGCUAGGUAUGGAUAGGGGGGCAUAGAGUACAUAUGAUGAGCUACAACAAUAGUUGUAGAGCCUAGCAUAGCUAGGUUAAGAGAUAAUUGAGCAUGCCAUGACGUUGUUAGGAUUUCAUAGAGACCCCAAAAAAAAUACACUAGCUUCUUAAAUUAAAACGUAAAGAAAAAUAUUUUUUUGUUACGUCGGGAAAUAAUUUUCCAGAAGAACCGAUGUCCGUUAGGCACCUAAUCCUUAUGUCAUAAUAGAUCCGAACACUUGCCUCGGAUUGACUGUAAUAAUAUAAUAUAGUGAUCUUGUCAAACUUAACCUAUGACAGAUUUCUUUGGUUUAUCUGAAAAUGGUUCUAUAGCUUGAACUAAAGAAUAAUAUAUGUCUCUUACAGUCAUAAUAUAUCUGCAAUGGGUUCUGUAAUCUCCAUACCGAAGAAUACUUUUGAGUUCAUGUACAUAUUAUUGAGUUCAUGUUCAACUAUUAGAAGUUUAGAACAGACAAUCCUGUUAGGAGAAGAUAUUUUGUUUGUUUCUGUAUGGUGCUACCUGAGAUUUCUUGUUUGUAGCAAACAGACCUGGAGUUUUCUUUAUUUAUUUUAAUUAUACAAAAGUAUUGGCCUCCUAAAAGCAUUCUUCCAUAUUGCAUAGUAUGGCCACGAAUACACUCUUGCUGUUUCAAAAAGCAAAAGUCAUUAAUGCAUCUAUCAGUUAAGAUCCCUAAUUGGCAGAAGACAUUGUCUGGUACUUUGGGUGGCGCCGUCUUGUUGAACUUGAAAUCUUACCCGGCAGAACAUAUUAUGCUGUCUCACCUGUGAACAAGAUAGAAGAAAAUCUUGUUGAUUGAAAUGGUAGUGACAGUUGCCCAUUUCUGGAACUUGUUUUCUAGGGUUAUCACCGAAAACUUAUUCUGCAGUGAACUUGAAUCACAGAAGUUUUAAUGCUUGUUUUUUUGUCAAACUAAUUCUGUAUGAUUAGACUGUACUGCACAAUCAGGUGUGUUUGUAUUUUUAUUUACUUCAUAUGCUCCAUAUUUGUGUAUUUCCUUUGUGCCUUUUUAUAUUAACUGAAAAAAUCAUGUGUUCCGCAUGCGAACUUUUUUGUAUAUGGUGUCAUCGAUAUGAGAGGAAUAAUUUCUGACAAGAAUGCAAUUCGUAAAACACUUUCUUUUGUGGUUUUCUGUUUUCUGUCUAGAUAUAUACUCUUAUACAAUACUUUCUGCAGCCAUUUCUUGGGUGUUCUCAAUUGUAGAAGAACUGGUAAAGCACUACCAUGGGCGCAUCAUCCAUUGUCAUGCCUCUACCUAUGCUACUGGAUUCCGUGAGAUCCAUUUGAUGGUUGACCUGUCUUGGGAACCUGUAGUCCUCCCUGCAAUAACACCUGCUGAGCACUUGAGCGUCAUUGUACACCCAGUUGCAAGUGGCCUUCCAUAUAUCACAUAUCUUCUUGAGAGCAUGGAAGCUUUUCACAGCAACAGAGUGAUUGGCAUCACAGGAAUUUGCAUAGAUAGUCAAUCAGAUGGUAUGCUUAAGUUUUUAACACAUUUAGCUGACUUCAGAGAAUGCAUUAGCUAGUUGAGAUAUCUUUCUAGUUUCCACUGCCUAAGGCCUUAACCAACUUGCAAUGCAAUAUGCUCUUCCUUUCUAUAUGUACUAUUAGUUCCCAAUGUGAUUCUUACCUGAAAUUGUUCAGGUAUAGACUACUGCAUUCGGAUAGUCGAAGAGCUUAAAAGAAAUGAAAAUGCAGUGGAAGUUGUAAGCAGCGGUUGGAUCUAUGGGCAAAACCAAUAUGCUAUGGACAUCGUCCUGACCCAUCCGAACACUGAAUUUAGUGACCUGUUGCCCCAGAGAUCACGCUAUUAAGUCUUAUGCAACUCUACAAAUUGU